ACCUAGCACAGGGAUAGCUCAGUUGGUAGAGCUCAAGGCUCUUAAUUUUAGGGUUGUGGGUUUGAGCCCCAUGUUGGGCA